UCGAGCGAGUCUGCCUUGAAGAUCGGAGUGCUUGCACUCUGUGAAACAAGAUACAGGCUAGCGGCGGACGGGUGAGUAACACGUGGGUAACCUGCCCAAGAGAUCGGGAUAACACCUGGAAACAGAUGCUAAUACCGGAUAACAACAGAUGAUGCCUAUCAACUGUUUAAAAGAUGGUUCUGCUAUCACUCUUGGAUGGACCUGCGGUGCAUUAGCUAGUUGGUAGGGUAACGGCCUACCAAGGCGAUGAUGCAUAGCCGAGUUGAGAGACUGAUCGGCCACAUUGGGACUGAGACACGGCCCAAACUCCUACGGGAGGCAGCAGUAGGGAAUCUUCCACAAUGGACGCAAGUCUGAUGGAGCAACGCCGCGUGAGUGAAGAAGGGUUUCGGCUCGUAAAGCCCUGUUGUUGGUGAAGAAGGACAGGGGUAGUAACUGACCUUUGUUUGACGGUAAUCAAUUAGAAAGUCACGGCUAACUACGUGCCAGCAGCCGCGGUAAUACGUAGGUGGCAAGCGUUGUCCGGAUUUAUUGGGCGUAAAGCGAGUGCAGGCGGCUCGAUAAGUCUGAUGUGAAAGCCUUCGGCUCAACCGGAGAAUUGCAUCAGAAACUGUCGAGCUUGAGUACAGAAGAGGAGAGUGGAACUCCAUGUGUAGCGGUGAAAUGCGUAGAUAUAUGGAAGAACACCGGUGGCGAAGGCGGCUCUCUGGUCUGUUACUGACGCUGAGGCUCGAAAGCAUGGGUAGCGAACAGGAUUAGAUACCCUGGUAGUCCAUGCCGUAAACGAUGAGUGCUAAGUGUUG
rnacentral:rRNA from 1 species